AACGAACGCUGGCGGCAGGCUUAACACAUGCAAGUCGAGCGCCCCGCAAGGGGAGCGGCAGACGGGUGAGUAACGCGUGGGAACGUACCCUUUACUACGGAAUAGCUCCGGGAAACUGGAAUUAAUACCGUAUGUGCCCUUCGGGGGAAAGAUUUAUCGGUAAAGGAUCGGCCCGCGUUGGAUUAGCUAGUUGGUGGGGUAAAGGCCUACCAAGGCGACGAUCCAUAGCUGGCCUGAGAGGAUGAUCAGCCACAUUGGGACUGAGACACGGCCCAAACUCCUACGGGAGGCAGCAGUGGGGAAUAUUGGACAAUGGGCGCAAGCCUGAUCCAGCCAUGCCGCGUGAGUGAUGAAGGCCUUAGGGUUGUAAAGCUCUUUCACCGAUGAAGAUAAUGACGGUAGUCGGAGAAGAAGCCCCGGCUAACUUCGUGCCAGCAGCCGCGGUAAUAC
rnacentral:rRNA from 1 species